UACGGAGGGUGCAAGCGUUAUCCGGAUUCACUGGGUUUAAAGGGUGCGUAGGUGGGCAGGUAAGUCAGUGGUGAAAUCUCCGGGCUUAACCCGGAAACUGCCGUUGAUGCUAUUUGUCUUGAAUGUCGUGGAGGUGAGCGGAAUAUGUCAUGUAGCGGUGAAAUGCUUAGAGAUGACAUAGAACACCGAUUGCGAAGGCAGCUCACUACGCGAAUAUUGACACUGAGGCACGAAAGCGUGGGGAUCAAACAGG
rnacentral:rRNA from 1 species